AGCGAACGCUGGCGGCAGGCCUAACACAUGCAAGUCGAACGAACCUUUCGGGGUUAGUGGCGGACGGGUGAGUAACACGUGGGAACGUUCCUUUAGGUUCGGAAUAACUCAGGGAAACUUGUGCUAAUACCGAAUGUGCCCUUCGGGGGGAAGAUUUAUCGCCUUUAGAGCGGCCCGCGUCUGAUUAGCUAGUUGGUUGAGGUAAUGGCUCACCAAGGCGACGAUCAGUAGCUGGUCUGAGAGGAUGAUCAGCGACAUUGGGACUGAGACACGGCCCAAACUCCUACGGGAGGCAGCAGUGGGGAAUCUUGCGCAAUGGGCGAAAGCCUGACGCAGCCAGGCCGGGUGAAUGAUGAAGGUCUUAGGAUUGUAAAAUUCUUUCACCGGGGACGAUAAUGACGGUACCCGGAGAAGAAGCCCCGGCUAACUUCGUG
rnacentral:rRNA from 1 species